GAACGCUGGCGGUAGGCCUAACACAUGCAAGUCGAACGGCAGCACAGUAAGAGCUUGCUCUUACGGGUGGCGCGUGGCGGACGGGUGAGGAAUACAUCGGAAUCUACUUUUUCGUGGGGGAUAACGUAGGGAAACUUACGCUAAUACCGCAUACGACCUACGGGUGAAAGCAGGGGAUCUUCGGACCUUGCGCGAUUGAAUGAGCCGAUGUCGGAUUAGCUAGUUGGCGGGGUAAAGGCCCACCAAGGCGACGAUCCGUAGCUGGUCUGAGAGGAUGAUCAGCCACACUGGAACUGAGACACGGUCCAGACUCCUACGGGAGGCAGCAGUGGGGAAUAUUGGACAAUGGGCGCAAGCCUGAUCCAGCCAUACCGCGUGGGUGAAGAAGGCCUUCGGGUUGUAAAGCCCUUUUGUUGGGAAAGAAAAGCAGCAGGUUAAUACCCCGCUGUUCUGACGGUACCCAAAGAAUAAGCACCGGCUAACUUCGUG
rnacentral:rRNA from 1 species